UGCGCAGGCGGUUAGGCAAGUUUGAUGUGAAAGCCCCGGGCUUAACCUGGGACGUGCAUUGAAUACUGCUUAACUAGAGUACGUUAGAGGGGGGUGGAAUUCCACGUGUAGCAGUGAAAUGCGUAGAGAUGUGGAGGAACACCGAUGGCGAAGGCAGCCCCCUGGGAUGAUACUGACGCUCAAGCACGAAAGCGUGGGUAGCAAACA
rnacentral:rRNA from 1 species